CUGUGAUUGGCCCACCCUGGAUGGUGCCCAUCUGCAGAGACAGAUGGGGUCAGUCACACAGAAAGCUGAUGGCCUGAGAGUUGGGGCGAGGAGACCCAGGAGCCAUCAGAAAAGGGGACGGAAGCAGGGGGGUGAGCAUGGCAGCAGCCUGCAGGAUGGCUUCCCAUGGCCGCUGUGGGGUGGGAACUGGAGCAGUGUUUUCCCUCCCAUGUGUCGGGUCUCCAGACCCUGCACCCAGCGGUGCCACUCGACGCUUCCCCUGGGCCCCAAAGUGUCGCCCUGGGCAGGCCCGUCAGGGAAGGUGCUUGCCGAGGGCGAGGCCCAGGGCAGGCAACCCCAUCAGGAUUCAGGCUGUGGGGCAGAAAGGGACAGGCCACCUUCCAAGGUGGCAGCCAGGCCAAGCCAGCAGGCCCGGGCCUGGGAGGGGCCUUGGGGCCAGAACCGGAAUUGGGCCAAAGCAGCAGCAAGCCCCGCAGGGCCAUCCCGCCGUGGCUCAGCAAGGCGCCCGGCACCGGAGCUGCGGGGCUGCACCUGAAGGCGGGGGCUGAGCCAGAGGUCAGCGGGUGGACGCGGGCCAGGGGGGCUGGGAACGUGUCUGAGUGUGUGAGUGAGAGGUGGCGUGCGUGUGUGGGCCAGUGUGAGGGCACACGUGUGCACACGUGCUGUGACCGCAGUCGGGACCAGGGUAGACGCAGGUUCUCAUGUGGGGUCUGAGGGGGCCCGACUUUGGACACUGAGGAUGGGGCGGGGCUGAGAGGCUGCAGACGGGCCGCCCAGUGCUGGGCUCCUGCGGAGUGCAGGGCGGGCACUGGAGCUGCGGAGCCGGUUCAGGGCCCCAGGAGGACAGGCAGCUCAGGACGACAGUGACAGCUGCUGCUUCCACUGGCCGGGGGUGGCCGUCAGUGCCUCUCACCCCACAAGCAACAGACAGCCCACACAUCGCAGUUCAGACGCAGGGCAGCACGUGACACAGCCAAGCUGGUUUGAGAGCAGGGCCGUCCUGACUCUUAGAGGACACAGGACAUCGGCUCCGGGGCCGUCCAUUGGGAAAGGAUGUACCUGGAGCCAGGGCAGGACAAGGUCAGGACAAGGCCCCAUGGCGGGGCAGGGUAGGGGCCCGACUCCACGGAGCUCUGUGGCCUGGGUCUCACGUUCGAGAAGAGCCUCCAAGUUCGGACUUCGGGCAUCUCUUCCGAUGAGGCAACACCUCCAGUCGCCGUAACUCAGCCGUGGGCUUGGAGAAGAUGACUUGGCUCCACCUUCUGGCUGGACAGAGCUGCCUUCCCAAUCUGCUGCCUCCUCCUUUGAGCACCUACUAUGCGCCAGGUGCUUUGUAUGUGCCGCCUCUUAACCCACACCACCACCCUCCACAGAAGAGAACAGUCUCCAUUUUGCAAGUGAAAAAAACUAAAGUUCAGAGAGGUUAGGAUGCAGCCUUGGUGCCCAAAGAUGGAGCUGCCUGCUUAUGACCAUGGGGAUUAAAGACACAGCUGGCGACGGUGCCAUCGGGAAGCUGGGAGGAGCCUGGUUCCUGACGGCUCCUUGAAGCCCUGGUACCAGCCUGGCAGCUGCCAACCUUGAGAGUCCUCGUGACAGGAG
ensembl:lncRNA